UGCCGCGUGGGUGAGAAGGCCUUCGGUGUAAAGCCUUAGGCGGGGAAGAAGGUUAUAGGGUGAUAAGCCUUAUAGCUUGACUGUACCCGCAGAAUAAGCACCGGCUAACUCUGUGCCAGCAGCCGCGGUAAUACAGAGGGUGCAAGCGUUAAUCGGAUUUACUGGGCGUAAAGGGCGCGUAGGUGGUAAGGCAAGUAAGAUGUGAAAGCCCUGGGCUUAACCUGGGAAGUGCAUCUUAAACUGCCUAACUAGAGUAUGGUAGAGGGUAGCGGAAUUUCCGGUGUAGCGGUGAAAUGCGUAGAGAUCGGAAGGAACGCCAGUGGUGAAGACGGCUACCUGGACCAAUACUGACACUGAGGCGCGAAAGCGUGGGGAUCAAACAGGAUUAGAUACCCUGGUAGUCCACGCUGUAAACGAUGAGGACUGGGUGUCAGGCAGCAUGGCUGUUUGGUAUCGAAGCUAACGCGAUAAGUUCUCCGCCUGGGAAGUACGGUCGCAAGAUUA
rnacentral:rRNA from 1 species